GAGGGUAGGCCCCUCGGUGUCGGCUUUCGGAAGCUGGCGUCAAACCACUUCAUGCUGCUGGAGUAAAGAGCUUUGGUAGUGAGCGAUGAAGAAAAGGCAUUGUCAUAAAUGUCAG
rnacentral:ncRNA from 1 species